GGAGGUAUAGCUCAGUUGGUGAGAGCGCAGGAUUCAUAACCCUGAGGUCGGUGGUUCAAAUCCACCUACCUCCA
rnacentral:tRNA from 1 species